AAAAUUCCGCCAAGAAAACAACACAGAAAGGAAUUUGGGAUGUUAUCAGUUGUAUACAGUAUGUGCGACGGUGACUGCAAGAAUGCCAUUAUGGGGAGCUAACCCAUGCUGCUGAGGGUGGAAAGGUCUCGCUUUUAAAUAGUUGUGAUCUGAGACAUCAGUCACAUACAUGUGUAUUUAGGGAGUCUAUAUACACUUGAGCUGAGCUGCAGAUAGGAAAUAUGGAAGAAUUUCAGAUGUUGUGAUGAAGAUAUUUAAGAGUGAUCAUCAUCAUCUAAAUGUGCAGGUCAGAACUCACAGGACAGUUUUUGUAAACCACCUGAAAGAUCUGAGUACCCUGAUGACUGUUGAACUGAUUGGUGACUGAGAAAAGAUGUCAGAGAGGAGAAUCCAAAAGGGAUGUCUUGAUCAAGAAUAUAUACUGUUAUGAAUGAUAUGGUCAAGAAUAUGUAAACUAAGAAAUAUCCUUUUAUAGAUUUAUAGAUGAACAUUCAAGCAUUCAUAAUUAUGAAAGCUAGU